CGGGCAGUGGCUCAGUGGUAGGGCUCCCGCUUCGUACGCGGGAAGACCUGGGUUCCACUCCCGGUUGCUUUC
rnacentral:tRNA from 1 species